rnacentral:lncRNA from 10 species
UGGGUUCUUGAUAUGUUGCCCAGGCUGAGAGUUUCGUUAUGGCCAGCUGUGACACAGAAAGGUUGUUCCUACUUUGGCCAUUGGAGCUCUUUCCAGUUAGCUUCUCUUCCUUGGACAGCUUCCAUACGUUUUUGAGCACUUCCUUAUUUCUGACACCAGAAGAUGACUCAGGCUUGACUUGUAUUCUCCCCGUCCAACAAUGGAAUCUGCCAUUUCUCCAAGGAGCCCUGAUUCCUUUUAUUUGAGCGUGCAUCCUGGGAAUUCAAUAUUUUCUCCAAACUUUCUGAAGAUACUGGUGACAAGGGUGAAGACUGACAAUGUGAAUAUGAGAAGUAAGAUCAAGGCAAGAG